rnacentral:sRNA from 1 species
UUUUGUCGGAAAAAAAAAAACUUUUUCAUUUUUUUUU